GGCCUUGACAUACUAAGAACUUUCCAGAGAUGGAUUGGUGCCUUCGGGAACUUAGAUACAGGUGCUGCAUGGCUGUCGUCAGCUCGUGUCGUGAGAUGUUGGGUUAAGUCCCGNAACGAGCGCAACCCUUUUCCUUAUUUGCCAGCGGGUCAUGCCGGGAACUUUAAGGAUACUGCCAGUGACAAACUGGAGGAAGGCGGGGACGACGUCAAGUCAUCAUGGCCCUUACGGCCAGGGCUACACACGUGCUAUAAUGGUCGGUACAAAGGGUUGCUACCUCGCGAGAGGAUGCUAAUCUCAAAAAGCCGAUCGUAGUCCGGAUCGCAGUCUGCAACUCGACUGCGUGAAGUCGGAAUCGCUAGUAAUCGCGGAUCAGAAUGCCGCGGUGAAUACGUUCCCGGGCCUUGUACACACCGCCCGUCACACCAUGGGAGUUUGUUGCACCAGAAGUAGGUAGUCUAACCGCAAGGAGGACGCUUACCACGGUGUGGCCGAUGACUGGGGUGAAGUCGUAACAAGGUAAGCGUAGAUGA
rnacentral:rRNA from 1 species